rnacentral:rRNA from 1 species
CCUACGGGCGGCAGCAGUGAGGAAUAUUGGUCGAUGGGCGCGAGCCUGAACCAGCCAAGUAGCGUGAAGGAUGACUGCCCUACGGGUUGUAAACUUCUUUUAUCAAGGAAUAAAGUGAGGCACGUGUGCCUUUUUGUAUGUACUUUAUGAAUAAGAAUCGGCUAACUCCGUGCAAGCAGCCGCGGUAAUACGGAGGAUCUGAGCGUUAUCCGGAUUUAUUGGGUUUAAAGGGAGAGUGGAUGGGUUUUUAAGUCAGAUGUGAAAGUUUGCGGGUCAACCGUAAUAUUGCAAUUGAUACUGGCAGUCUUGAGUACAGUUGAGGUAGGCGGAAUUCGUGGUGUAGCUGUGAAAUGCUGAGAUAUCACGAAGAACUCCGAUUGCGAAGGCAGCUUACUAAUCUGCCACUGACAUUGAUGCUCGAAAGUGUGGGUAUCAAACAGGAUUAGAUACCCGAGUAGUC